rnacentral:rRNA from 1 species
CAGCCGCCGCGGUAAUACCGGCGGCCCGAGUGGUGGCCGCUAUUAUUGGGCCUAAAGCGUCCGUAGCCGGGCCCGUAAGUCCCUGGCGAAAUCCCACGGCUCAACCGUGGGGCUUGCUGGGGAUACUGCGGGCCUUGGGACCGGGAGAGGCGGGGGGGACCCCUGGGGGAGGGGGGAAAUCCUAUAAUCCCCGGGGGACCGCCAGUGGCGAAGGCGCCCCGCUGGAACGGGUCCGACGGGGAGGGACGAAGGCCAGGGGAGCAAACCGGAUUAGAUACCCGGGUAGUCCUGGCUGUAAAGGAUGCGGGCUAGGUGUCGGGUGAGCUUCGGGCUCGCCCGGUGCCGUAGGGAAGCCGUUAAGCCCGCCGCCUGGGGAGUACGGCCGCAAGGCUGAAACUUAAAGGAAUUGGCGGG